GACGAACGCUGGCGGCGUGCUUAACACAUGCAAGUCGAACGCUGAAGCUCAGCUUUUGUUGGGUGGAUGAGUGGCGAACGGGUGAGUAACACGUGAGUAACCUGCCCCCUUCUUUGGGAUAACGCCCGGAAACGGGUGCUAAUACUGGAUAUUCACUGGUCUUCGCAUGGGGGUUGGUGGAAAGGGUUUUUCUGGUGGGGGAUGGGCUCGCGGCCUAUCAGCUUGUUGGUGGGGUGAUGGCCUACCAAGGCUUUGACGGGUAGCCGGCCUGAGAGGGUGACCGGUCACAUUGGGACUGAGAUACGGCCCAGACUCCUACGGGAGGCAGCAGUGGGGAAUAUUGCACGAUGGGCGCAAGCCUGAUGCAGCGACGCCGCGUGAGGGAUGGAGGCCUUCGGGUUGUGAACCUCUUUCGCUCAUGGUCAAGCCGCAACAAUGGUUGUGGUGAGGGUAGUGGGUAAAGAAGCGCCGGCUAACUACGUG
rnacentral:rRNA from 1 species